UCCCUGGUGGCCUAGUGGUUAGGAUUCAGUGCUUGUACUGCUGUGGCUUGGGUUCGAUUCCUGGUCUGGGAA
rnacentral:tRNA from 1 species